AGCCAUGAAGUUUCUCGCAGUGCUUCUACUCGCAGGCUUUGCCCUCGCCUCUGCUAUUCCUGUGCCUUCGCGACAAAAUGCCGUAGAUGAGGUUCGUGAACUUCACGAAACUUUACUUGAACUGGCCGCUUUGGAAGCUGAAGGUGAUGAUGUUGAUUC